UACGGGGGAGGCAAGCGUUGUUCGGAUUUACUGGGCGUAAAGGGCGCGUAGGCGGCCUCCGCAAGUCAGUUGUGAAAUCUCCGAGCUUAACUCGGAAAGGUCAACUGAUACUGCGGGGCUAGAGUGCGGAAGGGGCAACUGGAAUUCUUGGUGUAGCGGUGAAAUGCGUAGAUAUCAAGAGGAACACCUGCGGCGAAGGCGGGUUGCUGGGCCGACACUGACGCUGAGGCGCGAAAGCUAGGGGAGCGAACGGG
rnacentral:rRNA from 1 species